rnacentral:lncRNA from 13 species
GAGAGGAACUCCAGAACUACUUUGUUCUCUUCAAAGCCUGAGCCUCAGGAGAAAAAAGAUGAAGUUUCACCAUGUUGCCCAGGAUGGUCUCACACUCCUGAGCUCAAGGAUCCAUUUGCCUUGGCCUUCCAAAGUGCUGGGAUUAUGGGCUUGAGCCACUGUGCUGGGGAAUCUCAUGUUUUCUCUAAUUGAUCAUAUUCCCUUAUGUACCUUUGUCAUCUCUAAAUAGAACAUACUAGCCCUUCAAUUGUCUCUUACUACUGAGGUCUAUAAUAUCUUUCCCACAGUCAAACUACAUUAACCCACUUCAGUUUUAGCUCAACCAGUCAACCCCAUAAGAACUGUCACGGAGGCGUUAAAGAGGACGAUCUGGUGUUUAGGAUAUGAUAGCAGAAAAACUUCACAGCUAUGGAUGGUUUUAGGACAACUUGUGAAUACAAUUGCAAGAUGGUUCAGAAUA